rnacentral:pre_miRNA from 1 species
AGUGGGAUAGCUAGAUCAUAUGGUUAUAUUCUUAAUUUUUUGAGGAAUCUCCAUACUGCUUUCUAGAGUAGUUGUACUGGUCUGCAGUCCCACCAACAAU